GGUGACUCAGUGGUAGAGUGCUUGCCUUGCAUGCAUGAGGCCCUGGGUUCGAUUCCUCAGUACCA
rfam:Dipodomys ordii contig_98929, whole genome shotgun sequence.